GAAUCUCUCUGGAGAUACGUGCUGAGGGCUCUGUAUUUUUCACACUGAACUUCCAAGAUGAUACAGGUAGUAACUUAAGUCAUAUUAGUGCUGAUUCUGAAAGAGCUUGCCUUCCCAUCAUUCAUCAUCUGCAAGAGGAGGAGAUACAUUCUGCUGAGACCAUGAGCUGAGAAAUACUCCCAGCAGAAUAUUGUAGGAGGAAGUCAAAGGCUAUGCCAUCAAAUGAUCAUCAGUCUUGCCAUCUCCAGGAACCCCUGCAUGAGGUGUAUUAGUAACAACACAGGAGAACCAGUGGGGCAUAGUUUGAUAAAUCUUGAUUUUGGUAGGAAAAGUUUGAAGCCUACUCUGGAGGAGGAGUGGAGAAGUAGACUUGAGAAGAUGGUCUGAGGCUUCCUUUCCCUUUGCGGAUACUCAUCUAUGGCCACAGCUAUGUGUUUUGGGCCAGUUGACGAGCUUGGCAGACCAGCUUGGGUACCCAGUUGGGCCUGGCAGAAGCGGCCGAAGUGGAUUGGAUGGGGCACCAAGGAAUGUUGUGGAACCUUUUCCUCCCGCCUCUAGAUGAGUAUGCCACCACGAAGGGGGCACCACACAUCUUGGUCAUUUACCUGGGAGGCAACGACCUGGGUCUCCUAUAGGGCAGGGCCCUGAGUCUUCAGGCAAUCAAGGAUUUUUGGGACCUAGUAGCCCGAUGGCCCAAGAUGAGGUUGGUCUGGUCCAACUUGCUCCCGAGGACAUUUUGGAGGGGCCAGGGGGGCCCCCUGUGUUUCAACAGGGCACGUAAGAAAGUAAAUAAGGCAGUUGGGAGAGUGAUCACCACCUUAGGAGGAGCAGUAAUACAGCACCCUGACAUACGGGUGCAGGACUCAGCCCUGUACAGGGAGGAUGGAGUGCAUCUCUCCAACCAGGGAAACAAAGUGUUCCUCUGAGACUUGCAAUGUGGUCUUCAAGAAGUGCUAGUGGUGUUAUGAACGGUCUAUAACAUAUCAGAACCAGAGGUACCAACUUAGAAGUAUGGUGAAAUAUAGGCCUGUUUCUGAUUUCAUUUUAUAUUAAGAAAUGAUACCUGAACUCAAGGUGAACUAGGAUGUUGCUCUCCCUGCUCUGAAGGGAGGAGGUGAUCCAGGAUUGUGUUGUUAAAAUGGAUAUGCAAGGAAACACAAAAAAGCCAGGUCUGAAUGCUCUGUAAUCCAUAUGCUAAUACCACUGACUACCAAGUGUCUGUGGAAGGAGCCAGGAGGCUGAUUCACCCCCUUCCUGUUAAUGUUAAAUCCUUGUCAGUGAUUUGAAUUGUUCUCCAUGGAAGUUCAACAUAGCCAAAUGUAUACAGAGAUCCGUCUGUAGAUUUUAAUCUCACCUCACUGAUGCUACAAAUGUAUUGAAUGUCUCACGCACAUAUAUGGUACUUUAAAUAUAAUUACACACUAGAUAAGAGGUACACAAGAAAUAAGAAUGGCUGUCUCACACCAAAUAAGAUCAAUUCUCUUACUAACUCCUCUGAAUUUUAACACCUAUUGGGGAAAGAUGCAAUUUGCAGCAUCUAAGAUGCAGAUUUCCCCACCCCUCCCUUCUCAGCACAGAGUUUACAGAAGAUGAGAUUCAGAGAUCUCUCUGGACUGGCCAAUAUCCUGAAUAAUUAAGAUUUUGUUCAGAAGGUAGCAGCAAAUUGUCACCUUUUUGGACACCCAGGAAAAGAGGAGAUUUUGAAUAGAUUCUAUUCAAGGAUCAAAGAGAAAAACACUAUAAAGAAUGAGGCUUUUAGACAGAGAGUUCAGCAAUCUUUUGCCUAUAGCAAAAAGCUGCUCACGAGGAUCCCAGGGUUUUGCUGCUAAGCCGCGGGGCAAAGCAGGAACUCUGCCAUGGUCAGAGGCUGUCUGUGACUUCUACUGCGCAGUGAGAAAGUCAAGACUCCCCAGCCAUGAUGCCCCGGCUAUCAGCCAUGACCUGAGCACUGCAACAACUCCUGUCUCCGCCAAGCGCCUCACCCCUUCAGCUGAAGUGAUUCUUCUCUCUCAAGCUUCUGUUCCUGGUAAAUAUGCUGCUCCUUUACAAGCCUUGGAAUCCCCUCCAUCCUUUCCCCGCUCCCUUCUCCUUCCCCCCCUUCUUUCCCUCUACUAAUCUCCCCAAAACCGUUCCAGCCCUCAGCCUUCCUCCCCCGCUUCUUUUCUGCCUGUAUCUGAAUUGUAUUAGCCUUUAGGAAGAUUUAAUGCACACACAUAUGUUAGUUAGGAACACGGGUGAAUAUUGGUACUGGUUAGGAUGUUCUGUUUAAAUACUGUUAGCAAUAUUGAUAGAGUGCUCUGCUUUCUGCUUUACUAGAUUAUGUUGUUAGUCUUUAUACUCAAUAAAGCCCAUUGAAUCUUUGA